GGUUAAGCGACUAAGCGUACACGGUGGAUGCCCUGGCAGUCAGAGGCGAUGAAGGGCGUGCUAAUCUGCGAUAAGCGCCGGUAAGGUGAUAUGAACCGUUAUAACCGGCGAUACCCGAAUGGGGAAACCCAGUGUGACUCGUCACACUAUCAUUAACUGAAUCCAUAGGUUAAUGAGGCGAACCGGGGGAACUGAAACAUCUAAGUACCCCGAGGAAAAGAAAUCAACCGAGAUUCCCCCAGUAGCGGCGAGCGAACGGGGAGGAGCCCAGAGCCUGAAUCAGCAUGUGUGUUAGUGGAAGCGUCUGGAAAGGCGCGCGAUACAGGGUGACAGCCCCGUACACAAAAGCGCAUGUGCUGUGAGCUCGAUGAGUAGGGCGGGACACGUGGUAUCCUGUCUGAAUAUGGGGGGACCAUCCUCCAAGGCUAAAUACUCCUGACUGACCGAUAGUGAACCAGUACCGUGAGGGAAAGGCGAAAAGAACCCCGGCGAGGGGAGUGAAAAAGAACCUGAAACCGUGUACGUACAAGCAGUGGGAGCACAGGUUUACCUGUGUGACUGCGUACCUUUUGUAUAAUGGGUCAGCGACUUAUAUUCUGUAGCAAGGUUAACCGAAUAGGGGAGCCGGAGGGAAACCGAGUCUUAAUUGGGCGUUAAGUUGCAGGGUAUAGACCCGAAACCCGGUGAUCUAGCCAUGGGCAGGUUGAAGGUUGGGUAACACUAACUGGAGGACCGAACCGACUAAUGUUGAAAAAUUAGCGGAUGACCUGUGGCUGGGGGUGAAAGGCCAAUCAAACCGGGAGAUAGCUGGUUCUCCCCGAAAGCUAUUUAGGUAGCGCCUCGUGAAUUCAUCUCCGGGGGUAGAGCACUGUUUCGGCUAGGGGGCCAUCCCGGCUUACCAACCCGAUGCAAACUGCGAAUACCGGAGAAUGUUAUCACGGGAGACACACGGCGGGUGCUAACGUCCGUCGUGAAGAGGGAAACAACCCAGACCGCCAGCUAAGGUCCCAAAGUCAUGGUUAAGUGGGAAACGAUGUGGGAAGGCCCAGACAGCCAGGAUGUUGGCUUAGAAGCAGCCAUCAUUUAAAGAAAGCGUAAUAGCUCACUGGUCGAGUCGGCCUGCGCGGAAGAUGUAACGGGGCUAAACCAUGCACCGAAGCUGCGGCAGCGACACUGUGUGUUGUUGGGUAGGGGAGCGUUCUGUAAGCCUGUGAAGGUGUGUCGUGAGGCAUGCUGGAGGUAUCAGAAGUGCGAAUGCUGACAUAAGUAACGAUAAAGCGGGUGAAAAGCCCGCUCGCCGGAAGACCAAGGGUUCCUGUCCAACGUUAAUCGGGGCAGGGUGAGUCGACCCCUAAGGCGAGGCCGAAAGGCGUAGUCGAUGGGAAACGGGUUAAUAUUCCCGUACUUGGUGUUACUGCGAAGGGGGGACGGAGAAGGCUAUGUUGGCCGGGCGACGGUUGUCCCGGUUUAAGCGUGUAGGUGUGUGUUCCAGGUAAAUCCGGUUCACUUUAACACUGAGGCGUGACGACGAGGCACUACGGUGCUGAAGCAACAAAUGCCCUGCUUCCAGGAAAAGCCUCUAAGCAUCAGGUAACAUCAAAUCGUACCCCAAACCGACACAGGUGGUCAGGUAGAGAAUACCAAGGCGCUUGAGAGAACUCGGGUGAAGGAACUAGGCAAAAUGGUGCCGUAACUUCGGGAGAAGGCACGCUGACACGUAGGUGAAGUGAUUUACUCAUGGAGCUGAAGUCAGUCGAAGAUACCAGCUGGCUGCAACUGUUUAUUAAAAACACAGCACUGUGCAAACACGAAAGUGGACGUAUACGGUGUGACGCCUGCCCGGUGCCGGAAGGUUAAUUGAUGGGGUCAGCGCAAGCGAAGCUCCUGAUCGAAGCCCCGGUAAACGGCGGCCGUAACUAUAACGGUCCUAAGGUAGCGAAAUUCCUUGUCGGGUAAGUUCCGACCUGCACGAAUGGCGUAAUGAUGGCCAGGCUGUCUCCACCCGAGACUCAGUGAAAUUGAACUCGCUGUGAAGAUGCAGUGUACCCGCGGCAAGACGGAAAGACCCCGUGAACCUUUACUAUAGCUUGACACUGAACAUUGAGCCUUGAUGUGUAGGAUAGGUGGGAGGCUUUGAAGUGUGGACGCCAGUCUGCAUGGAGCCGACCUUGAAAUACCACCCUUUAAUGUUUGAUGUUCUAACGUGGACCCGUUACCCGGGUUGCGGACAGUGUCUGGUGGGUAGUUUGACUGGGGCGGUCUCCUCCUAAAGAGUAACGGAGGAGCACGAAGGUUGGCUAAUCCUGGUCGGACAUCAGGAGGUUAGUGCAAUGGCAUAAGCCAGCUUGACUGCGAGCGUGACGGCGCGAGCAGGUGCGAAAGCAGGUCAUAGUGAUCCGGUGGUUCUGAAUGGAAGGGCCAUCGCUCAACGGAUAAAAGGUACUCCGGGGAUAACAGGCUGAUACCGCCCAAGAGUUCAUAUCGACGGCGGUGUUUGGCACCUCGAUGUCGGCUCAUCACAUCCUGGGGCUGAAGUAGGUCCCAAGGGUAUGGCUGUUCGCCAUUUAAAGUGGUACGCGAGCUGGGUUUAGAACGUCGUGAGACAGUUCGGUCCCUAUCUGCCGUGGGCGCUGGAGAACUGAGGGGGGCUGCUCCUAGUACGAGAGGACCGGAGUGGACGCAUCACUGGUGUUCGGGUUGUCAUGCCAAUGGCACUGCCCGGUAGCUAAAUGCGGAAGAGAUAAGUGCUGAAAGCAUCUAAGCACGAAACUUGCCCCGAG
rnacentral:rRNA from 1 species